CCUACGGGAGGCAGCAGUGAGGAAUAUUGGUCAAUGGACGAGAGUCUGAACCAGCCAAGUAGCGUGAAGGAUGACUGCCCUAUGGGUUGUAAACUUCUUUUAUAUGGGAAUAAAACAGGGUAUGCAUACCCUCUUGUAUGUACCCUAUGAAUAAGGAUCGGCUAACUCCGUGCCAGCAGCCGCGGUAAGACGGAGGAUCCGAGCGGUAUCCGGAUUUAUUGGGUUUAAAGGGAGCCUAGGUGGAUCGUUAAGUCAGUUGGGAAAGUUUGCGGGUCAACCGUAAAAUUGCAGUUGAAACUGGCAGUCUUGAGUACAGUAGAGGGGGGCGGAAUUCGUGGUGUAGCGGUGAAAUGCUUAGAUAUCACGAAGAACUCCGAUUGCGAAGGCAGCUCACUGGACUGCAACUGACACUGAUGCUCGAAAGUGUGGGUAUCAAACAGGAUUAGAUACCCUAGUAGUC
rnacentral:rRNA from 1 species